rnacentral:rRNA from 1 species
GACAGAGGGGGCAAGCGUUGCUCGGAAUCACUGGGCGUAAAGCGCGCGUAGGCGGCUUUGCAAGUGCGGCGUGAAAGUCCUGGGCUCAACCUGGGGACGGCGCUGCGGACUGCAUGGCUGGAGUCCGGAAGAGGGUGGUGGAAUUCCGAGUGUAGAGGUGAAAUUCGUAGAUAUUCGGAGGAACACCGGUGGCGAAGGCGGCCACCUGGUCCGGCACUGACACUCAAGUGCGAAAGCGUGGGGAGCAAACAGG